rnacentral:rRNA from 1 species
CUACGGGCCGCUCCAGUGAGGAAUAUUGCACAAUGGGGGGAACCCUGAUGCAGCAACGCCGCGUGGAGGAUGACGCAUUUCGGUGUGUAAACUCCUUCUAUAUGUCAAGAAAAUGACGGUAGCAUAUGAAUAAGCACCGGCUAACUCCGUGCCAGCAGCCGCGGUAAUACGGAGGGUGCAAGCGUUACUCGGAAUCACUGGGCGUAAAGGACGCGUAGGCGGGUUGGAAAGUCAGGUGUGAAAUCCUACAGCUUAACUGUAGAACUGCACUUGAAACUUCUAAUCUAGAGUAUGGGAGGGGGGGAUGGAAUUAGUGGUGUAGGGGUAAAAUCCGUAGAUAUCACUAGGAAUACCUAAAGCGAAGGCGAUCUCCUGGAACAUUACUGACGCUAAGGCGUGAAAGCGUGGGGAGCAAACAGGAUUAGAUACCCGCGUAGUC